CACCGAAGCUGCGGCAGCGACGCUGAUGCGUUGUUGGGUAGGGGAGCGUUCUGUAAGCCUGCGAAGGUGACCUGUGAGGGUUGCUGGAGGUAUCAGAAGUGCGAAUGCUGACAUAAGUAACGAUAAAGCGGGUGAAAAGCCCGCUCGCCGGAAGACCAAGGGUUCCUGUCCAACGUUAAUCGGGGCAGGGUGAGUCGACCCCUAAGGCGAGGCCGAAAGGCGUAGUUGAUGGGAAACGGGUUAAUAUUCCCGUACUUGGUGUUACUGCGAAGGGGGGACGGAGAAGGCUAUGUUGGCCGGGCGACGGUUGUCCCGGUUUAAGCGUGUAGGUGUGUGUUCCAGGUAAAUCCGGUUCACUUUAACACUGAGGCGUGAUGACGAGGCACUACGGUGCUG
rnacentral:rRNA from 1 species